rnacentral:rRNA from 1 species
CCCUUAGAUGUUCUGGGCCGCACGCGCGCUACACUGAUGCAUUCAACAAGCCUAGCCUUGACCGAGAGGUCCGGGUAAUCUUUGAAACUGCAUCGUGAUGGGGCUAGAUUAUUGCAAUUAUUAAUCUUCAACGAGGAAUGCCUAGUAAGCGUGAUUCAUCAAAUCGCGUUGAUUACGUCCCUGCCCUUUGUACACACCGCCCGUCGCUCCUACCGAUUGAAUGUGUUGGUGAGGAGCUCGGAUUGGCAGCAGUUGGUGGUUCGCCACCGGCUAUUGCUGAGAAGUCCUCCAAACCGCCCCAUUUAGAGGAAGGAGAAGUUGUAACA